UGUAGCUGCCCUUAAGAUGUGACGUUUAUGUUCCUCUAAGGCAGCGGCAAUAGCUGGGCGUUUGAAACUUGGUCGAUAUAAACAGAAGUUACUAUGGAGACGUGUUUUAUUCUCAGCAUUUGGAUAUUCAGCCUCCUAGGUGCUGCAUUCGGUGACUCUGUCCAGUCCAACGAACCCGAAGUGUCUGGAUCAGUUGGAGGUUCUGUGACACUCGCCUGUUCUUACACCACCAGCGAUAGCUAUGUCUAUCUCUAUUGGUACCGUCAGUAUCCGAAUCAAGCCCCGCAGUACAUUCUCUGGAGAGGAGCGAAGUCCGCCAGCCAGCUCAGUGAUACCGCAGACUUUGCCCAGAAGAGGUUUUCUUCCCAGGCUAAUGACAGCGCCACAGUUCUGAAUAUCAGAGCCCUGGAGCUGGCAGACAGCGCGGUGUAUUACUGCGCCCUGCAGAGAGCACAGUGACAGA